rnacentral:rRNA from 1 species
AGAGUUUGAUCAUGGCUCAGAACGAACGCUGGCGGCAGGCCUAACACAUGCAAGUCGAACGAGAAGCCACCUUCGGGUGGUGGACAGUGGCAGACGGGUGAGUAACGCGUGGGAACGUGCCUUUCGGUUCGGAAUAACCCAGGGAAACUUGGGCUAAUACCGGAUACGCCCUCCGGGGGAAAGAUUCAUCGCCGAAAGAUCGGCCCGCGUCGGAUUAGCUAGUUGGUGGGGUAAUGGCUCACCAAGGCGACGAUCCGUAGCUGGUCUGAGAGGAUGACCAGCCACACUGGGACUGAGACACGGCCCAGACUCCUACGGGAGGCAGCAGUGGGGAAUAUUGGACAAUGGGCGAAAGCCUGAUCCAGCCAUGCCGCGUGGGUGAAGAAGGCCUUAGGGUUGUAAACCCCUUUCAGCGGGGAAGAUAAUGACGGUACCCGCAGAAGAAGUCCCGGCUAACUCCGUGCCAGCAGCCGCGGUAAUACGGAGGGGACUAGCGUUGUUCGGAAUUACUGGGCGUAAAGCGCACGUAGGCGGAUUUGUAAGUCAGGGGUGAAAUCCCGGGGCUCAACCUCGGAACUGCCUUUGAUACUGCAAAUCUCGAGUCCGGAAGAGGUGAGUGGAAUUCCUAGUGUAGAGGUGAAAUUCGUAGAUAUUAGGAAGAACACCAGUGGCGAAGGCGGCUCACUGGUCCGGUACUGACGCUGAGGUGGGAAAGCGUGGGGAGCAAACAGGAUUAGAUACCCUAGUAGUCC